rnacentral:rRNA from 1 species
AACGAACGCUGGCGGCAUGCCUAACACAUGCAAGUCGAACGAGACCUUCGGGUCUAGUGGCGCACGGGUGCGUAACGCGUGGGAACCUGCCCUUAGGUUCGGAAUAACUCCCCGAAAGGGGUGCUAAUACCGGAUAAUGUCUUCGGACCAAAGAUUUAUCGCCUUUGGAUGGGCCCGCGUUGGAUUAGCUAGUUGGUAGGGUAAAAGCCUACCAAGGCGACGAUCCAUAGCUGGUCUGAGAGGAUGAUCAGCCACACUGGGACUGAGACACGGCCCAGACUCCUACGGGAGGCAGCAGUGGGGAAUAUUGGACAAUGGGCGAAAGCCUGAUCCAGCAAUGCCGCGUGAGUGAUGAAGGCCUUAGGGUUGUAAAGCUCCUUUACCCGGGAUGAUAAUGACAGUACCGGGAGAAUAAGCUCCGGCUAACUCCGU